AUAUUUAUACACCCGUCUGUCCACCUUGAUGGCGUAGUGUAGCACCGCAUUAAGGCGUGACGUGAGCGUUGGACGCGAGCGUAGUAGCCCUAUAUAGACCCAUGAAUUUAUAUAGGGAGUAUGGACGAGUGUAAAUACAUACAUAUAUUAUAGAGUCUGAGAGGCUCGAUAUUUUAUGGGAUAAAGGUUUUACCGCUUGCGGCAUGCAUUCGAUUUUUCCUUAGAAAUUAAUUUGGGGAAACAUAAAUAUUUUAUUUAUUAAUUUAUUUUUGUCCACUCACUCUAACGUUAUUAAAUGUUUUCCCCUGGGCCCUUCGUUUUAAAUUGCCCAGUCUGCAGAGUUCGGGUUGGAUCUAGUAGGAGACGAGGCAUAGUCACCCGCUUUUCGGCCAGUUUUCAUCAGUAGGUUACCUGUUCAACCUACUUGUGUUUUCUUGCUUCCGCUUGUGUUUAGUAGCUCUGAAUACUUUAGAAUUUUUGUAUAUUAUGUAAAGUUCAGAAGUGUAAUAUGAAAUUUUCGACUUAGGGUUGUCCAUCUGCAAGGGAGAUUUGCUUAAUCUUUUCAGUAAAUUUUCCUUGGAGGUGGUCCCCGCACGACUUACUCUGGGUUUCAGGGUGAAAUUCGGGGUGGGUCGUGUCAAUUACUCACCUAGAUGAGGGCUACAAGUUGAGCCAAAAAUCACGACCUAUGGUGGCCGGAAGACGGAGCUCCGGCGAACAACCCAUUCCGGCAGUCGAACCUUUCGGGGUUGACCGCUCUCUCACGGCAGAGCUAGGGCUCCUCUCACCGGUCCAGGGACGUUGCUGGGUUGGAGGUCGUUCGAUUGGGACCGGUGCGGCGGCGGUUGGUGGCCGGACGGCGGCGGGAGGGCAGCCGGAAAAUCGGGCAGCGGAAUGCUCGGGUGCGGAGAGGAAAUCGGGAGGGAGAGAGAAAGAAAAGAAGAAGAAAUGGGUUGGGCUCGGCCCAGCCGACCCAACACUCCCUUAUAACCCAAACUUCCAAAAUUCAACACCCCGAAAAAUAAUACCCGAAUAAAAAUUACCUUUUACUAGCUAAAAUUUACUAUU
rnacentral:lncRNA from 1 species